rnacentral:rRNA from 1 species
CCUACGGGUGGCAGCAGUGGGGAAUAUUGCACAAUGGGGGGAACCCUGAUGCAGCAACGCCGCGUGGGUGAAGAAGUACUUCGGUAUGUAAAGCCCUGUCAGCAGGGAAGAAAAUGACGGUACCUGACCAAGAAGCCCCGGCUAACUACGUGCCAGCAGCCGCGGUAAUACGUAGGGGGCAAGCGUUAUCCGGAUUUACUGGGUGUAAAGGGAGCGUAGACGGCAAGGCAAGUCUGGAGUGAAAGCCCGGGGCUCAACCACGGGACUGCUUUGGAAACUGUGUUGCUGGAGUGCAGGAGGGGUAAGCGGAAUUCCUGGUGUAGCGGUGAAAUGCGUAGAUAUUAGGAGGAACACCGGUGGCGAAGGCGGCUUACUGGACUGUAACUGACGUUGAGGCUCGAAGGCGUGGGGAGCAAACAGGAUUAGAUACCCCAGUAGUC